CCUACGGGAGGCAGCAGUGAGGAAUAUUGGUCAAUGGGCGGGAGCCUGAACCAGCCAAGUCGCGUGAGGGAAGAAGGUCCUACGGAUUGUACCCUCUUUUGCCGGGGAGCAACGGGGUCCUUGCGAGGUCCCAAUGAGAGUAACCGGAGAAAAAGCAUCGGCUAACUCCGUGCCAGCAGCCGCGGUAAUACGGAGGAGGCGAGCGUUCACCGGAUUUAUGUGGUUGAAAGGGUGCGUAGGCGGGCUGUUAAGUCAGCGGUCAAAUGUCGGGGCUCAACCCCGGCCUGCCGUUGAAACUGGCGGCCUCGAGUGGGCGAGAAGUAUGCGGAAUUCGUGGUGUAGCGGUGAAAUGCUUAGAUAUCACGAAGAACUCCGAUUGCGAAGGCAGCUUACUAAACUGCCACUGACAUUGAUGCUCGAAAGUGUGGGUAUCAAACAGGAUUAGAUACCCGAGUAGUC
rnacentral:rRNA from 1 species